AGAGUCUUGUCACCGGUUUUUGAUCUAGUCUCACUCUUUCCACCUGAGCUGAUAAGUACUUGCCUCUCUUCAGAUCCUUGUGGAGGUUCUUGGAUCCUUGUCCCCCAUGUGAUCUGUAACAACUUAAAUACCGUUCUUUAUCUAGAAUACACUCUUGAAGAGAAUGUGGACCUAGGUGUGUACCGUUUUCUCUUUUUAUCUGUCCUUUCUGGUCUUUAAGAUCUCAUAUUCCCCUGUCUGCACAAACUGACUUUU
rnacentral:lncRNA from 12 species